UACGUAGGGUGCGAGCGUUGUCCGGAAUUAUUGGGCGUAAAGAGCUUGUAGGCGGUCUGUCGCGUCUGCUGUGAAAAUCCGGGGCUCAACCCCGGACUUGCAGUGGGUACGGGGAGACUAGAGUGUGGUAGGGGAGACUGGAAUUCCUGGUGUAGCGGUGAAAUGCGCAGAUAUCAGGAGGAACACCGAUGGCGAAGGCAGGUCUCUGGGCCACUACUGACGCUGAGAAGCGAAAGCAUGGGGAGCGAACAGG
rnacentral:rRNA from 1 species